AUCACUUACAGAAUACAUUCAAUUACACGUAAAAUGUUUUCGACUCGUUUUAUCAUUUUCUUCGUUCUUAUGGCGGUGUUCGCUGUUGAAAUAUUGGCUGGUUGCAGAAAUAAAGGAAAUCCUGAAUGCAUUGACUUUAUGUGCAAUUUGUGUUGCGGAAAUAACAAUGGACUCCCUUGCUUAAACACUAUGCGAAGAGCGUGCUGCUGAAAUUAGUUUAGUAAGAGUUGGUUACAAACAAUUUUAUUGAAUUUUAUGUGUCACAAAUAAGUAAAAUUGCAUUUCAAACAGCC